rnacentral:piRNA from 1 species
UAGGAGCUUGCACAGAUCCAACACUCGGGGA